rnacentral:rRNA from 1 species
GUUAGGAAUAUUGGACAAUGGGCGAAAGCCUGAUCCAGCCAUGCCGCGUGAACGAUGAAGGCCUUCGGGUUGUAAAGUUCUUUAGCCGAUGAUUAUAAUGACUGUAGUCGGAAAAUAAGCCCCGGCUAACUUCGUACCAGCAGCCGCGGUAAUACGAAGGGGGCGAGCGUUAUUCGGAAUCACUGGGCGUAAAGCGUGCGUAGGCGGUUUUGUAAGUUAGGAGUGAAAGCCCAGGGCUCAACCUUGGAAUUGCUCUUAAAACUGCAAGGCUCGAAUCUCGGAGAGGAUAGCGGAAUUUCCAGUGUAGCAGUGAAAUGCGUAGAUAUUGGAAGGAACACCAGUGGCGUAAGCGGCUAUCUGGACGAGUAUUGACGCUGAGGCACGAAAGCGUGGGGAUCAAACAGGAUUAGAAACCCUAGUAGUCC